AGCAGCCGCGGUAAUUCCAGCUCCAAUAGCGUAUAUUAAAGUUGUUGCAGUUAAAAAGCUCGUAGUUGAAUUUCGAGAUCAAUUUGUUGGUCGUGCCUCGGUACGUACUGGCAAUUUUGAUUUCUCCCUUCUGAAGAACCAUGAUGUCAUUAAUUUGGUGUCAUGGGGAAUCAGGACCGUUACUUUGAAAAAUUAGAGUGUUUAAAGCAGGCUCGCGCUUGAAUACAUUAGCAUGGAAUAAUGAAAUAGGACGUUUGAUUCUAUUUUGUUGGUUUCUAGGAUCGACGUAAUGAUUAAUAGGGAUAGUUGGGGGCAUUAGUAUUCAAUUGUCAGAGGUGAAAUUCUUGGAUUUAUUGAAGACUAACUACUGCGAAAGCAUUUGCCAAGGAUGUUUUCAUUAAUCAAGAACGAAAGUUAGGGGAUCGAAGACGAUCAGAUACCGUCGUAGUCUUAACCAUAAACUAUGCCGACUAGGGAUCGGAUGAUGUUAAUUUUUAAUGACUCAUUCGGCGUCCG
rnacentral:rRNA from 1 species